rnacentral:rRNA from 1 species
GACGAACGCUGGCGGCGUGCUUAACACAUGCAAGUCGAACGGAAAGGCCCUGCUUUUGUGGGGUGCUCGAGUGGCGAACGGGUGAGUAACACGUGAGUAACCUGCCCUUGACUUUGGGAUAACUUCAGGAAACUGGGGCUAAUACCGGAUAGGAGCUCCUGCUGCAUGGUGGGGGUUGGAAAGUUUCGGCGGUUGGGGAUGGACUCGCGGCUUAUCAGCUUGUUGGUGGGGUAGUGGCUUACCAAGGCUUUGACGGGUAGCCGGCCUGAGAGGGUGACCGGCCACAUUGGGACUGAGAUACGGCCCAGGCUCCUACGGGAGGCAGCAGUGGGGAAUAUUGCACAAUGGGCGGAAGCCUGAUGCAGCAACGCCGCGUGCGGGAUGACGGCCUUCGGGUUGUAAACCGCUUUCGCCUGUGACGAAGCGUGGGUGACGGUAAUGGGUAAAGAAGCACCGGCUAACUACGUG